CAUUACAAAGCCCGUAUUUGAAAAAGAUACAUCACUGAAACCCAUUUUUCAUCUUAAUAGUAACCAAGUAAACAAGCUUAUCCACUUGGUUAUUUCAGUCUCCUUGAAAUGGUGAGUUUAUUAGAUACACUGGCCUACAAUUAAAGCCACAUUUUUAAAACGACAUAAACUAAGGGAACCUCGUGAACUGUGUCCGAAAUCCAAGUGCUAAACGUAACGCCACUGAAAUCACUCAGCUGGUAUUAGGUAAGGCAGAACUCAAACGUGAAUAGACUAUACCGUGAGGCACAGAUUUUGCUUUUCCUUGGUAUCAAAAAAUUGAAGUCAACUGAAGAGCAAAUAUUUCCACAUUAAGCUCAUACCCCACCGCCUCUAAGACAGCAACCCUGGAAAAUUUUCUGGCCCCAAACCGGGGCCGGCUCCUCUGCAGCACCAGUCACUGCCCGCAGGGAAGGCCAUGUGGAGAGCCUGGUUUGGGGGAGAGGCGCUGACCGGAAGGGGCGGAAAGGCGCGGCUCCUUCCUCCCCCGCCGCGCCGGGCCAGCCUAGACCACCUAACCCCAUUGUCCAGAUCCUCGGAGACAGACAGCCCUUUCCCGGGCCUGACCGUGCGCUGCCCUGCCCGCCACUCUCACCUCCAAUCAAGCCACAAAACUGCAAAUAGUAAUAAAAAUGAAACCCAGAAUAGAAGCGCCAGCCUUCUGAAGCCCUCUCAACUGACCAGUGAUGGAGACCUAGCUGCACCCUUUACUGCGCCCCCUUCUCAGCAUGAAGCAGCCAGAGCGGUCAUCACCCCUCUUCCCUAGCAGCAGCUAGAGUCUCUAUCUGUAGAAGAAAGAAUGAGACCAUACCCAUAGCCUUCCCUGGUAAAAACAGGUAUUUAAUCCCUCCUCCCGAGGGAUAGUGGGCUUGUAACACUGGAGUGACCCCAUGUGUCUCUACUUCUGCCUUCAACUCCUCCCGUGAUUUCUGUAUCAUGGUCCAGCUGGUGCCCAGGUUGAUGUAUCAUGAUGAUCUCUCAUUCGUAGCUGAAUUUGAACCUAAGCAUAGAUAUAAGAGAGAGCCGGUCUCGCUGACCUUAGCCGUGUUGUUAGAGAUAAGAGUCGCAGCUGGAGUGGGAACGGAGGCAGCCGCUAUUGUUCAAGGGAACCAGCAUUAUGAAAGACUAAGGACUGCUAUUGAUGAAGACCUAAAAACCAUAGAGCAAUCCAUUACAAAACUUGAAGAAUCUCUGACUUCCCUCUCUGAGGUAGUCUUACAGAA